CAAAGCCUUGAACUUCUGGGCUCCUUUCCGCACCUCGCUGCCAAUCCCUGCCAGGCCAGGGGCAGUGGGAGCCUGCAGCAGCACAGACAGCCCUGGGGGUUGGGAGCAGCCAGACCUUGGGGUGUCAAAAUGAAUGAGGAGAAGUAAUAACAUGUGCUGGAAAUGGCUCUUCUGGAAAGUUCUCAAUGCAGUUGAAUAAAUGGAGUUGUGGCCUAUUUAAGCUAUAUCUCUGUGUAAUUUUUUUUUUUCUCUUUUUUUUACUCAGGAAAAUUGAUCUUUCUGCACUAGGAAGAAACUUGUCGGUGCAGGACUUUCUCAGAGGCUGGUUUCAAGGACUCAAUUGGACGAUACAUUUAUCUUCUUGGAUGGUGAAUAUAAUAAGCUGAAGUGAAUAUAAUACGCUCCCAGCAUGGCUUCUGCAGCAAAGAAACUGUGAAGUAUUAAGGGAGAAGUGCAGCUACCAGCACUUGAAAUGUUUAAAAGAAGGCUGUGAUUCAGCAUGCUCCUGCUCGUGGGCUUGAUGCACGUUUUGCCGGUUGCUGACUACUGAGAUAGUCUUUUAUCUGGGUAUACAGAACAGUUGACCUUAACAGAAAAUGAGAACGUCUUUCAUGGGGUCUGGAGGUCAUGAAGACCAAAUCCAGAGAUGCCGUCUUCCCUGAGCUGCGAUAUUCCCGGACUGACUCCUUAGCUAGCUCAUGGUGCAUACAAGGAACACCUCUGGUUGCUCAGGCAGUGAGUGGAGCCAGUCAUUUCACGUACUUCCACCUUUUGUCUGUAAGUGUCGGGUUUGCUAGGCUAUAACUGGCACAGUGCCUGCUUUUUUCUAGUUUUAACUGUAUUGCAGGAUUGAGUCCUAGCUGAACAAUUUUGCUUCCCAGAAUGAAAUGGAUAAAUUGGCCUUAAACAAAUAAUGCUAAAAUUUGCCACAGUACCAUGUUCUUAAUGAACUGAGGAGCAUCAAAAGUGCAGUGUUCUUCUAAAUGCUGGUUUCCAUGAUUGUCAUUUUCUGUGAUUUUCAAAGCAAAUUGAACGUUCUGCUGAAAGUCAGUAGCUUUCUUUUGGAAAGCUUGUUUCAUUCUUGCUGCGUAUCGCAAACAUAUAUGUUAAAAGCUGUGCAUACAGUCGCUUCCAGCCACUGUCAGAGCAUAGUAUCCCUCUCUUUCUAUGGACUCUUUCAGUAUAUUUGAGAAUAGCUUCACCACAAAUGUAUCCCACUUUAUCAGGGUAACACGUGUAUGAUUUCCUCUGGUAUUGCAUCAUAAAAUAUAGUCAACAUAUAAGGUAGAAACAACAAUUAAAAUUGAUGUUACCGAUUUAAAUAUAAAUUAUUAUAUUAGUCUUUACUUUGAAAAUGUAAUAUGAAUGACAACUAGUCAUUAUUUUAAAUAACUUCUGAAGCUAACAGCAGUAGACAGUGAAUGUGCAUGUGUGUGCAAGGGUCUUUUGUAAUGCUCGGAGGUUGUUUAACUGACACCCCAAAUCAGGGAGCAUUAUUUUUCCAACUAAUUUUUAUUGUCAUCCAGUUUAUUCUUUUCCUCACGCUGUGUCCUCCUCAUAUCAAUUUUAGACUAAAAUACUGCAAAAACAAAAAAGGUAAUGGCACUUUCCACAGUAUUUCAAAAGGUUUUUAAGUGGAAAAAGGUAUUUAGUAUUUUUAAUAAGCAUCUUCAAUACUAUUGAGUUGGUUUCUUUGUUCAUAUCACAAGAUUAAUUAUGCUGUCAAGCACUUUCAAGGCCUGCUUAACAAAGAUUCAGUGAUAUAAUGGUUUGCUUCGCAUUGCCUUUUUUCUGCAUAGCAAUCACAAUCAGCAUUAGACAAUUUAAAACCCUUUCACAAGCCGGAAGUUCUGAAGAGCCUUUUAAUCAACAAAAGUAAUUUUGCAAACAACUGGAUACAGCGUUUUUCAUAUUAACUAACUUGUGCUAAACUCUACUGUAUGCCUGGAUCUCUGGUUCUGGUGAUGAAUUGUUCAGAUUUGUAGGAGGCUAAAAGUGGGGAACACAACUAGCAACAUUUGCACCCCAUGAAAAUUGUAAUUUCAUAUCUUUCUCUAGCUUAAUAUAAUUAUAUUUGUUUCAGAUUCAUGUGUUUUAAUUUUCCCUUACCAUACUGUUCUUUUGUAAUCACUUAAAAUAUUUUCAGAAAAAAAAUACUGGGAGAUGUAAUUUUGUGCUUUAAGGCACACCACUAUUUUUGUUGGACAGAUUAGAAAUAACAGCAUAGGUUGAGAUUCUGAAAUUCAAGUUAAAGUAGGAAAAUCUGUUUAGAAAUUCGCCUCAUAAAAAUAAUCUGGCUGAAGAAUACUUUAUACAGUAAUUUUAUUGCCAUACAGCAUGAUAAGCAAUCCCACAUGAUUUAAAAGCACUUAUUUGAUGGAGAGAUUGCAAAAGCAAAAAUACACUACGUUACGUUUUUUUUUAGUUUUUUCAAGC